CCGGGGACCGGGGACCGGCUGCCCCAGCGCCCAGGGCGCCUUGCAGCACCAGCCAGGACUUCCGGGGGCAGCGGAAGGCUCAGGGACAGCGCCCAAAGGGUUAAGCGAGCUGGUUCCGGGGCGAUGGGCCCUUCUUCCGGUUACAAGAAGGCUUGGUUGCCCCAGGAGCCUAAGGGCUAAAGGAGAGGAAGAGCUCCCUCCGGGCUCUCCAGCCGCCCUGGGUUCUAGAGCCGCUCUAAACGCCUCCUCCUGCUGCGGUAGACUCUCAGCGGCUCUUCUGUGCCCAGGCUUGGAGAAACCCGACCAAGAAAGGCCUCUUUUGUGUCCUGACGGGGAAGCAGCCUGGCCAGACCCUGUGGCCUCCCGCUAACUGGGCAAAGGGGGCGGGGAGGUGGGGCUGAGAGUCCGAACGUCCAGGCGCCAUUUUUGGCCCUCUAAGGAAGCGCUGACCACCCCCAGGCGAAGAGCCCCAUUUCCCAGGCUGCUGAGGACCCCAUCCUUGCCGCCCUCGGGGAGCAAGUGCGACUGCGAGUUCCCAGCGCAGCUCUGGGGAGCCACAGGGGGCGGCAGGGGGCGCCCUUCCCCGGCCGGCCUCCCCUGCACGGCUGAGCUCCGCAGUGCUCGCGCUGGCCUCUGAAAAAGCCCCCCAAAGCCAAGUUUCUUCACAUCUUACUAUUCAGUAUGUGCCUUGCAGACAAGGUUACCCCAGAGCAGCUCUGUAAUCCUUCACUGAAAUAGGCUUUAUUGAUUGCUCUGGUCUAUUGUUCUCUUUUCAAGUCCCCCAAGUUCAAGUUCAUCGUGGUGUUACAUCAUGUCUGGUUGCUAGGGGCAACCAGACAGACCCAGACGUGACUAUCAUUAGCAAGAAAGCCUCGGCUCUCCUCCCACCACCCUUCCAGUGGCUCUGACGUAGCAGGGCCCACUGCAAACACAUUGAGAUUCUACGGCUGGCCAAUGAGGAAAUACAAGCAGAUGAUGGUUAAGGUCAUGUUGGGCAGAUUAAAAAAUCCGCCAUGUCUUUGGGCAUUUCUGGUGCCACAACUUCCAGUUCAAUAUGGUUUCUGCCUUUCUCCUGAUUUGACAGUUCCAGAAAUGUAACUUCUUGCCUUGGGACAGACAGCAAAGGCUUUCUUCUGUUCUUUAUCUCAGCCAGCCCCAAUAGGACACUACAACAUGGGCGGAUGCUAUCUGGAGAUCCAGACAUCAGGGAAACAAAUGCUCCAGACAGAUCUGCCGUCCCCCAAAGGUCCUGGCUCGGGGACCGGCCGGCUCCCCAUUUGUCAGCCGCCCACCCUAUUCCCAGGAAGUGUCAUCCAUGCCCGGCGUCCUCUCCCUGGCGCUCAAGGUGAAACAUCCCCCAGAAUUCUGCAGUCCAGCAAAAGAUCCAGCUUCCCUUUUUUCUCCAGUCAAACGAAGAAGUAAUCUCAUCAGGUUGGAAAGUGCUGACUAAGGAUUUAAUAAAGGGCCUGCAGAUGUGUGUCAUCUCGGAGGUAUUCAACUCAUGUAAUGCAAAACAGUUGCACACUGAGCGUGCUUAUAAAAUUCCAUUUAACCAUU